UACAUGGGGUGCAAACGUUGCUCGGAAUUAUUGGGGCGUAAAGCGCUCGCAGGUGGUUCGUCGCGUCGUGCGUGAAAGACCCCGGCUCAACUGGGGAGUGUCGUGCGAUACGGGCGGACUGGAGGCCAGUAGGGGGAUGCGGAAUUCCGGGUGUAGAGGUGAAAUUCGUAGAUAUCGGGAGGAACACCAGUGGCGAAGGCGGCGAUCUGGGAAGAUACUGACGCUGAGGUGCGAAAGCGUGGGGAGCAAACAGG
rnacentral:rRNA from 1 species